ACCUGGACUAAGCCCAGGAAUAUGGUGCCUCAGAGCUGGAUGCUUAACCAAGACAAACUCUCCUUCUCUCCAAUACUGUGCCAACUCAUGAUUCUCAUGACCUGUGCUUGAAGAAAUCCGGACUAGGAGUCAGAGGACCUCUGACUUUGCCAAUCAUGGCUAA
rfam:Equus caballus chromosome 1, whole genome shotgun sequence.